CAGUAGCCACGGUAAUACAGAGGUCCCGAGCGUUGUUCGGAUUCACUGGGCGUAAAGGGUGUGUAGGAGGUUGGAUAAGUCAGGUGUGAAAUCCCGCAGCUCAACUGCGGAACUGCAUUCGAUACUGUUCAACUAGAGGAUCGGAGGGGGAAGCGGAAUUCUUGGUGUAGCGGUGAAAUGCGUAGAUAUUCGGAGGAACACCAGUGGCGAAGGCGGCUCACUGGUCCAUUACUGACGCUGAGGUGCGAGAGCGUGGGGAGCAAACAGGAUUAGAUACCCCCGUAGUCCCUGUCUCUUAUAU
rnacentral:rRNA from 1 species